rnacentral:rRNA from 1 species
AUUGAACGCUGGCGGCAGGCCUAACACAUGCAAGUCGAACGAGUGGCGGACGGGUGAGUAAUGUCUGGGAAACUGCCUGAUGGAGGGGGAUAACUACUGGAAACGGUAGCUAAUACCGCAUACCAUCGGAUGUGCCCAGAUGGGAUUAGCUAGUAGGUGGGGUAAAGGCUCACCUAGGCGACGAUCUCUAGCUGGGCUGAGAGGAUGACCAGCACCCCUGGAACUGUGACACGGUCCGGACUCCUACGGGAGGCAGCAGUGGGGAUUAUUGCACAAUGGGCGCCAGCCUGAUGCAGCCAUGCCGCGUGGAUGAAGAAGUCCUUCGGGUUGUAAAGUACUUUCAGCUGUGAGGCGUUACCCGCAGAAGAAGCCCCGGCUAACUCCGGGCCAGCAGCCGCGGUAAUAC